rnacentral:rRNA from 1 species
UGGGGAAUUUUGCACAAUGGGGGAAACCCUGAUGCAGCGACGCCGCGUGAAGGAUGAAGGCCUUCGGGUUGUAAACUUCUUUUGUCGGGGAAGAUGAUGACGGUACCCGACGAAUAAGCCACGGCUAACUCUGUGCCAGCAGCCGCGGUAAGACAGAGGUGGCAAGCGUUGUUCGGAAUCACUGGGCUUAAAGGGCGCGUAGGCGGCAUGGUAAGUCUGGGGUGCAAUCCUAUAGCUUAACUAUAGAACUGCCCUGGAAACUGUCGUGCUUGAGUCAGUGAGGGGAGGGCGGAAUUCCCGGUGUAGCAGUGAAAUGCGUAGAUAUCGGGAGGAAGGCCGGUGGCGAAGGCGGCCCUCUGGCGCUUGACUGACGCUGAGGCGCGAAAGCGUGGGGAGCAAACAGG